UGGGCAGCUCGCUGGCAGGUUCCUCCGCAGGCACCUUCAGCUGGGGGAUGGGGAUGGUAGAGGGGGUGAAAGGGCAGAUUGAUGGGGUGUCUGCCCUCCACUGCACCCAGCCCCAUCCCACUGGGCUCCUACCCAGGUCCACCUACCUCCUGGUACAUCAGUUUAGGCUUCAUCUUGCCAGGCAGCCAGAGGACACGCCGAGACCAGGCAGGAAAGUGGGUGUGUCAGGGUCUCCAAACUGUGGGGAACAAAAGCUGGCACUGUGGGGGUGCUCUGGGCCUUAGGGGAACAUCACAGAAACCAGAUUAGUCUUGGGCUCAUGGGAUCCACUGGGUCUCCUUGUCUGCGAUCACGGGGGCCACUGGCAUGGGGCCCGCCACCCCAAAAGGAGGAAGCUGACCGCUGGUCAGCAGGGAUUUCGAAAUCCCUCAAGGUCUAACAUCUAGCUUUCUUCCCAUCAGUCUAUGCUGCCCACCCUGCCCCCCUGAGCGCCCACGCGGCUCCUCAUUAACGCUCAAGCUGCUCAUUAGCAUCUUCGCUUCUCCGAGCGCUCAUCUAGACAUUCCCCAAAAGACAACUGUGGAUGGGGUCAGCGGAGCCCCAAAUCUUUGCCUGGCUUUUCACCACCCAGAAACCACCCAGGGAGCAUUUUCCAGGUGGCUGCCCUGCCAUCACCCACAGAGUCCGAUCCCAGACUGGCAAGGGGAGAGCAGAGCUGGAGCCCCACCUCUUAUUAUAAAGGAACAAAUGCGGAUGGACCAAGUGGAUCCAGCAAGUGGCAAAAGAUCAAGGUUAUUUGGAAUUGAGAGGUGUUGUUUUAGGCGCUAGAAGUACCGUUGUGAACAAAACAGACACCAGGCAAGAUAGACAAAAAACGAGAUGGUGAGCCUGAAAUCCAAUGACAAGUUUCUCUUAGAGACAGAAGAGAAGAAAGAGAGAAGACCACAUGACCAGGGAGGAAGAGCCACCAGAAUCUGAGAGAGGCAGGAAUCCCCCCACAGAGUCUCAGGAGGGGAUGUGACUCCACCAACACCUUGAUUUUGGACAUCCCGCCUCCACUACCAUGAGAAUAA